AGUUCUUUCCUUUGUCUGAGCUCAGCGGAGACCGCCGCCGAGACUACGACUCCCAGCAGCUCCGCGUUCCCCCUUUCCUCAAAAGAAAAAGAUCUACCUCGAGGUGUUUCAGAUUCAGGAUAAACAAGAUAGACAAGCCUUGUUCCUGCCCUUAAGAAGCCCAGGACGAGGAAUACAGACAAAUAACACAUUAUUGAAAUGCCCUGAUAAGUGCUUUUCAUAGAUAAUACUAUGGAAUUACAGAGGAGGGGCACUUAAUCCAGACUGGGAGGGGCAUAAAAGGUAUCCUUGAAGAAAUCAUAGCUAAACUUGCUAUCCAGGAAAAACUUGUGAGAAAUUUUGUUAGGAUGUUUCAGCUGCAAGUAACAACAAACCUUAACUCAAUUGGUUUCAACCAUAGAGGAAUGCACUACUUCCCAUAACAAGAAGUUCUACAUUGGGACCACACCACUCCAGGAUUGAUUCAUUCAAUGGCUCAUAAAUCUGCCAUCCUCAGGACCCAGUGAUGUCCAAGGACUGAAAAGGAUUGUGUGUCUCUACUUAUUAGCUUGAGAAACCUUGCCAGAGGUCCUUGGACGCUUUCUACCUAUUUGCCCAAAUUAGAUAUAUCCCUGGCAAGGUGAAUGAGUGCCUUAGAUCAGUCCCAAUUCCCUUCUGUAGGCCUGAAGCUAGAGAGACUUAGCAGGAAGAUGGAACUUACCCAAAAGUAGAGCUCUGCCAGCAUGGGAAAAAGGAAAAGUGCCUGCAACAGGAAAAACAACAAAGAGAGAGAGGUGGAGAGGAACACGCCAAAGAAAGAGAGAGAGCCCACACUAUCCUAAGCUCCUGAAUGCACUGUGACAUCCAGGUGUCCUGGGGAAGACAUAAACACAUCAUACAGCACCCACAGGAACUUCAAGAGACUGGAGUUAAUAAAGAGAUUAAAGAGAUUAA
ensembl:lncRNA novel transcript